AAGCCUCUCUCAGCGCUGAGGUCAAGGUGCCUGAGAAUAGGCAACUUAAAACUGUUGAGCGUGCUGACGCGACCGGCUUGGGGACUGAAGACAUCGGCGCGUGACGGCCUGCCAAUAUUCUCUUUGAUCCUGAAGUUGCAGAAUGUCUCCUCAAAACCAUUCUGUCCUUGUUGCCCCUGUUGUCUCUGAAUUCCCUGUUCUCGUCUUUCCUCCUGUUGUGACUCUGGUGGCUGGAUGAAAUCGAGACGUCCUCUAACUCUCACGAUUUGGGGUCUGUUGUCUUUCUGUCCCUGAAGCUGCUGGGCAGUCUGUUGGUCAAUGUUCAAAGCAUCAGCGAGGAGCUGUGUGUUGAAGCCUGCAAAGAUGUUGUUGUUUCCUUGUCGUUGUUGUUGCUGGUGCCUGCUCCUUCCUCCUUGCUGUUGCUGGUGCCUGCUCUUUUCUCCUUGCUGUUGCUGGUCCUGGUCCCAUUGACUUUGGCCUUCCGCUUGUUGUCCACGUCCUUGCCGUCCUCGUUGCCUUUGGCUUUGCCCGUGUUGGUUAAACUCAUCUUGUGGAUUACCCGCUAGAUAGAAUCUCUAUACACAUAACAAUAGUACAAUACAUGUAUGUGAUCUGCAGUCAGCAAUGAUAACAAGUAAUCUACCAAUAAAUAUGCAAAUAUAUUUGGGGGUGUAAAUGGACAGUGUGCUCAUUAGUAGAUAUUUAAUUUACCCUAGGGUUACGAUCAAGCUGGUUUUGGUUGUUGCCGAUGUCAAGAAGACUGACAGCAACAAGAGGUUGAUCACCGUCAUUGUAGGACCAGUAGGUGACUCCGGCAGGAAUAGCAACAACGUCACCUUCUCUGAUGCGUCGAACCUUCUGGUGUCUGUCUAGCUGUUCGAAGCUUUCUUGUCCCUGUUGGCCUUGCUGGCCUUGUUGUCUAUGACGGCCAUGCUGUCCACGGUCUUGCUGCUCUUGUUGUUCACGGCCUUGCUGUCCAUGACGCCCUUGCCAUUGUUGUUGACCCUGUUGUUCUUCAUCAGAUUGUUCUGAUUCUUCAAAAGACUCAGGACAGCCAGGGAAUACAGUAGAUAGAAAACCAUUUCCUGCCGUAAUUAUAUGAAUAUAUUACACACCAUAUACAGAUACAUAUUAAUACAUAUCCAACAUUUAUAAUAUUAGAUAGAAAUGGUUCCGGUUACACAGUACCUUGGACAAUAUAUAUGAGCUGUGGUGCGUGGGUGUAAGAAGGCAAGUGAAGGCCAUUUCUUUCAACAGUGAUUCGUUGAACAGCAACACCAGCACACCGGAAGUCGUCCUGGUUGUAGUUCCAGGACUCGAUCCUACCCGCUUCAGUCUCAAUGCGGUUAUCAGGUUCGCGGGCUUGGAUCUGAUCAAGUUGGCACUCAUUCUGCUGGCUCGACUGAGAUUGUUGGCGCGCUGCUAAGCAGCUGUGGAAGAGGACAAGCAAGCAAAGAGAAAAGGCGAGAGCUAUAGGCUUAGCCAUAGUGUUGAUCAGAUAAGUAUAUAGCUUGUCGUGGUGAAGCGGCGAGUAGAAGGUGUGGUAUUUAUACUUUUAUAGGAUAGAGAAGCUGAAGAGGGAAGGAUAAGUACAACAACGUACAUCUGUAAAUAGUCUGAAGCCAUUCUUAUCUUUGCAUGGCAAAAGCAUUUCACAUUCUUACACCUCAUUUCUCCCAGGGCAGGUGGCUCAUGGCUUCAGAGAAGAUACAAAGUGCCUAACAAGGUGGGGUUUUGCCAUGAUUGUCUGCAAGUGAAGCGAAAUUCUACUGCCUUGAACCUGGUCCAAUAAAGAGCAAAAUUUAUGAGAGGACUAAGAUAUGUUCUUACCAGUUUUAGUAAAAUAGUAUUACAUCAGCACCAACCUGAUGAACAUCUUCUAUAAUGUAGGCAAGGUUCAAAAAUGGCUGUUCUUAUCUUCCUAGUAGCCAUCCAUACUCUGUCAUUUUAUGAGUCAAAGUUUAAUAUUUAAAACUUAUGUAGACAUUCCAACAAUAAAACUUAAAAGUUCUUAACUCUAGUUGGUAAUACUUUGACACGUCAAACUUCUUUGAUUUCUUCCAGAAGCAUAAGCAUCUGGUUCUCACGUUGCUAAUCACUUCACCUAUCUAGUUUUCCUACCAAAAAGAAUCUGAUAUAGAUAGAAAAGUUAGCCAUAAAUGUAGGACUUACUGUGAACAAUGUCCCAAUUCCAACCUCAAAGAUUAGAAUCUAAAAGCUCGUAACUCAAAAUUAUACAACAUCAUUAUAUUCACAAUAAAAAGUACUCUGACAUAAGGUUUAGUUCAGUUUAGUGCUUCUUGAAAAAAAAGAUGAAGACUUCAACUGUUCUACAACAUAAUUGUCUAUAUCUAUACUCAAAAUGAUCAAUAAUCGUUUAUCCUACCAUAUUUCUUGUAUGGAAUAUCUUGUUACAUUUUGUUUUCAUAGCAAAAUGUUGCAAUAUUUGAGUGAUAGAUACACUGCCAACAUGGUGUACAAGUUCCACAGCCAAGAUUUUUGGGCUCACGACAACUCUUAAGGCUUAAGAACCAGUAAUGCAUGGUUGAACUAGGGAGCAGCCAUUGCUGAAGGCUCCUCCUCAAAACGAUCCAUUGCUUUAUUACCCCAUGGUUGGAAAACCUGCCAACAGUCAAAAUUUCCUCUUCCCCCGCAGUCGAUAUUUUCUCAUCUCAAUAAAUUUUAUUCAUCCAAAACAUAAAUCCUUUUGUUUAAGUACCCGCCAGUAUAUCUAAUAUCUGUGACAAGCCGAGUGCUGACAGCUGAUAUUUUAAAACUUGGGAUUCCCUAUAGCCCCUCUCAUUAUAACCCCUCUAAUGUUAAAGCUUCUGCUAAAGACACAUCUCUAGUUCCUCGAGCUAAUGCUACAUCCGCAAUGCAAUUGUUCCCAUGCAAUGAUUAGCCAGAGGAAAACUCGAGGAGCUCCCUUGACUCUGAUCAAUUUAGCCUCAAGUCUCGAACUUGUUCUUUGAAAGUCAGUGAAGAGGCUACUUCUUUAACUGGUGAUGGUGCUCAACCAAUGUUAAGCCAGACAGAGGAUAGUUAAGUGAAUCUGGUCGGGAAGACCUAAAAAGAGCAAAACUUCUUGCUUUCCCUUGCUACACAACGAGUACUACUAAAAGGUCGAUUCCAACAAAAGAGCUCAGGAUGUUGUUAUUAAUGGGGUUGGGACUUGAGUUCUCGGGUGGGAAUGUGAAGGUGCAGCAGUUGCUUUGCAACUCUACUUUACUGUCCUUGUCCAAGCUGAUAAGGGUGGGACGACAUUGAACGGCCUUAUUUACAGGUCCUCUAUAUAUUGGAAUACUUGACUGUCUCAGAAAGGACUUGCCAAGUGAUUCCCUAAUUCUAAUGCUCAGACCUCGGCCUAUUUGAAAUGUCUGAUAGAAACUAGUUUGAGGAAUAAUUAGCUUCUUUACCUGUGAGUACAUGUUUCUAUGGAAGGUUUCUGUAAUGCUAGCUUUCCUUCUGCUAUAAGGAAGGUGACCAAGCUUUUAAUCCUAACACCAAAGUUAAACCUUUUCCAAAGAAAGGGGGUCAAAACCUGUAGAAUAUUAUGUAACAGGUUGAACCUAACACAUAAAGUUCAGCAAUCAUCCAUGAUCCAUCUUCUAUCAUAUUUUUACUGAACCAAAGAUUAAGUAAUCAACACUGGCAGUUGUUUAUGUAAGUUAUUCUGAUAAAGAAAAAAGAUCCAUCACUACCCUUAAACUUAUUGUGCCACAAAACACAAAUGACUUCAAUUGUUCCUAUCGCAUAGAAACCAAACUUUUGUCAUUGUUUCUUGGAAUUAUUCUGUACACAUCACUUCUGUGCAAUCAUGCACAAAAUAGAAUCAAAAUACCAUGACAAUGACAAAGGGUUUAAUUCAAUUUGGCACUUCUUACCAACACUAUGCUCCUCCAAAUGGUCCUCAUAGUCAAAGGGACUUCCCCAUAUCCCUUGUUCCAAAAUUAGCUUCUUUACCCAGAAUCAAUCAUCCUACUACGCUCAAAAUAUCUAAUUUCUCAAUACUCUACUGAUUCAAUUGAGUUGAAGACAAAGUAGACAACAAUUAACAGAUCAAAUGUGAAAGUACAUAAUUCAAUAGACUCACGAUUGCUGAGUUGCAGGUCACUGGUUGUGGUGUGUCUGAUCAGCAGGAGCUACGUUUCAAGCACGCCCUCGUGAAGCAAUCUCGUCCCCGACGCGACCUCUGGUAGUCGGAAUAUGCGGCCGGAUAACAUGAUCCGGCGAUCCCGUCUUUCACAUUGUGUUUGGUUGGACAUUGGCGGUUCCAGCAGUUCAGUUACUAUUGGUCUUCACCCUCUCAGCGCUCAACCUCUUCUAGUCUCUCCUUUUAUUCUUGUACUUGUCAGUUGUCACAGUUGCUAUCUAUGUGAUUGUUCCACGUGGAUUUUAUUUUCCUGCAAAUUCCCAAAUUAAUUAUUAUUUUGUCCAAAAUUUCCAGAUGAAUUGUUUGUUGUCUUUGAUGUUUUUUUUUCUUUUGUAAAAAGAUCGUAUGACCCCUUAUAUGGAUAUUUUCAGGAGACUUCUUGCCGCCUUCACGCUGUUCACGUUCCACAUACAUAUAUACAUGCAGCUCAACAUGCUUUUUCACCAACUUCACUGAGUUCUUUGAUGAUUCUAAUCAUUCGAUGGAAUCACAAAAUAGUUAGUUUAUACAACAGAGUUCGUGAGCUGCUUAUUUUAUAGUUUAAUUUUGGCGUGACGUCAUUAGUUAAAGCUCGACGAAGCAUGCUGUUUUUCUUUUCUAUCAAGAGCGUGAUUAGCUGGUUUGGAAAUUUCAUUUCUAUUUUUCUCGUUCUUAUUGAGAGUCAAACUUUGAAGAAAUGAUAGUCAAACUUCGAAGAAAUGAUUGGAGUCAAACCUGAUGAUUACAGACAAGGGGUGAGCUGCUGAUAUGCAAUUACAGCCAAAGCAAAUUACUGACUUAAAUCUAAGGGGCAAAGCUUCACAAUUUAGAUAAAACACCAACUCACCAAGUAUAGUUGAGGCAAAAAGAAAAUUCAUUUAACGAGAAUAUGACUACAAGAACGUAGUAGCUCGUUAUUUACUAGUUUGUACAUAAGAUCUCAUAUCUUCCGAAGAUGCCAUAUAAAGGCCAUUUUUAUUCACUCUACCCUUUAGCUCGCUGGUACCAUAUUCACUAGCUUAUUCACCGCACAAAAAACACUACGUGCGCAUUACAUACAUAUUCAUACUCAGACAAACAUCUCAGCAAUAUCCAACCAGUUCCUGUGGGAUCGAGGAGACCUUGAUGAGCUCAAAGCAACAGUCUCCUGCCUGUUGUACUUGAGAGUCCUUGCCUGUUGUCGAUCAAUCUGGUAUGCGUUAGCGAGGACCACGUCAGGGAGUGCCCGCAAGACUGAGGUCCGGCCAGCAAGAGUGUUAAUCUUAGCAUUGUCUUGGGUCUUGAAAGCAAUGUAUUCGAAUCCAUUGUUGCUAGCCUUAUGCAACACUGCAUGGUUCUGUGGCACAAUGAAGAGCUGGCCCUGGCGGACCUCGUUGUCCAAGAUGGCCUGGCCGUUGUUGUUCACAACCUGAACCCUAGCACUACCUCUAAUGACGUAGUAGACUUCAUGGGCGUUCAAGUUCCAGUGAGGACUGUAGAUAGCAUUCUGCAAGUACCACAAACAAGAUUAGUAAUCAUAAUCAAUAACCUCAAUUGAUUCAAAAGGACCUAUAUCGUUGAUUAUAUAUACUUACGUUAUAGAAGAAGCCUCUCUCAGCGCUGAGGUCAAGGUGCCUGAGAAUAGGCAACUUAAAGCUGUUGAGGGUGCUGAUGCGACCGGCUUGGGGACUGAAGACGUCAGCGCGUGAAGGCCUGCCGAUAUUCUCUUUGAUCCUGAAGUUGCAGAAUGUCUCCUCAAAACCAUUCCGUCCUUGUCCCUGUUGUCUCUGAAUUCCCUGUUGUUGUCUUUCCUCCUGUUCUGACUCUGCUGGCUGAACAAAGUCGAGACGUCCUUUAACUCUCACGAUUUGGGGUCUGUUGUCGUUCUGUCCCUGAAGCUGCUGGGCAGUCUGUUGAUCAAUGUUCAGAGCGUCAGCGAGGAGCUGUGUGUUGAAGCCGGCGAAGAUGUUCUUGUUGUUUCCUUCUUGUUGCUGGUGCCUGCUCCUUCCUCCUUGCUGUUGCUGGUGCCUGCUCCUCUCUCGUUGCUGUUGCUGGUCCUGGUCCCAUUGACUUUGUCCUUGCUGGCCCCGACGACUCUGGCUUUGCCCGUGUUGGUUAAACUCAUCUUGUGGAUUACCAGCCAGAUAGAAUCUCUACAUACAUAACACAUCAUGCAUGUGAUCAGAAAAAACUAGCAAGCCAACAGUAAGAGUGCUAUUGUACCUCCACAAAAGAAAAUAUAUACAUAUCACAUUUGCUAAUUAAUUUACCCUGGGGUUACGGUCAAGCUGGUUUUGUUGGUUGCCGAUAUCAAGAAGAUUGACAGCAACAAGAGGUUGGUCACCGUCGUUGUAGGACCAGUAGGUGACUCCAGCAGGAAUAGCAAUCACAUCACCUUCUCUGAUGCGUUGAACCUUCUGGUGUCUGUCUAGCUGCUCGAAACUCUCUUGUCCCUGUUGGCUGUGCCGCCCUUGUUGUCUAUGACGACUUUGCUGUCCAGGGCCUUGUUGCCCUCGUUGACCACGGCCUUGUUGUUCAUACUCUUCCUGUUCUUGUUGCCCGCGGCCUUGCUGUCCAUGGCGCCCUUGCUGGCCUUGCCACUGUUGUUGACCUUGUUCUUCAUCAGAUUGCUCAGAUUCUUCAAAAGUUUCAGGACAGCCAGGGAAAACAGUUGAUAGAAAACCAUUGCCUACAGGGUAUAAAUGAAUGAUUUUAACCACAUACGUACUUGUAUUCAAAAAAUUUAUACUAAAUUUAACCAAUUGCAUUUAUACAAUACCUUGCACUAUGUAAGUGAGUUGUGGAGCAUGGGAGUAAGAAGGCAAGUGAAGGCCAUUUCUUUCUAUGGUAAUUCGUUGAACGGCAACACCAGCACAUUGGAAAUCGUCCUGGUUGUAGUCCCAGGAUUCGAUCCUACCCGCUUCAGUCUCAAUGCGGUUAUCAGGUUCACGGGCUUGGAGCUGAUCUAAUUGGCAUUCAUUUCGCUGGCUCGACUGAAAUUGUUGGUGAGCUGCUAAGCAGCUCUGGAAGAGGACAAGCAAACAGAGAGAAAAGGCGAGAGCUAUAGGCUUAGCCAUAGUGAUGAUCAGAGAGAUAGCUAGCUAGUUGUGGUGAAGCGGCGAGUAGAAGGUGUGGUAUUUAUAGGAUAGAGAAGGUGAAGAGACAAAAAUAAGUACAAUAACAUUAAAGAUCUGAAGCCGUUCUUCUCUUUGCAUGGCAAUAGCAAUUUACAUUCUUCCACCUCAUUCCUUCCAGGGCAGGUGGCUCAUGACUUCAGAGAAGAUACAAAGUGCUAUGAAUAAGGUGGCAACCAGAAGCGGUUUGCAAUUGUCUGCAAGUGAAGCAAAAUUUUACACCCUUGAACCUGGUCCCAAUACAGGGAAAAAUUAAUGAGAGAAGUCAGAUAAGUUCGUUCUAAAUUUGGUAAAAUGAUAUUACAUCAGCCCCAACCUGAUGAACAUCUUCUAUGAUCCAGACAAGGUUCAAAAAUGUAAGAUCUCAUCGGAAAAAAAAUGUAUGUUAGAUAAGUACUGAAUGAUGUGUCAGGAACCUCAAGACAUUUUUCUAUAUGCAAUUUAUCAUUGUUUCACAUUCUUACAGCUCAUUUCUUUGACCAGGUGGCUUAUGGCUUCAGAGAAGACUCAAAGUGGCUUGAACAAUGUGUCAACCAGGUGGGAAUGACAUGAUUUUCAAAUGCAGCAAAGAUUUACUGCCGUGAAUAAUGCAAAAUUAAUUAUACAAACAAGAUCUAUAGCUGUUCAAUGCAUAGUUUGGAAAAGUAAAAUCAUACCAACACCAACCUGAUAAACUCAUCUAUGAUGCAUGCAUGGUGAAAAAUUAUAACAUUUUCAUCUUUCCUACAGUAAUCAGCAUAGUCUAUCCUUUCAUGAAUCAAAAUUAAUACUUCAAGUCUAUGCACAUAAAAUCUUACUAAAAAUAAUGCAGUUUAGUGGUUUAUAUAAGUUUCUUUGCAAACAAAUCUGAACUCCAUCACUAUUCUUGAAACUACUGUGACCCAUCAACGUUAUUACCUCAGCUAUCAACCAUUCUCAUGUCAUAAAGAUUCAGAAUUUGCAAUAUUACUCCUAGAAGUUCUCUGUUCAUCUACAGAAAGGAGUCUCGUAGAAGCUACUGUUGUGAUAGAAGCUAGGAUAGCUAAUGCUGCAAAAUUGAUCUCCGAGAAGCUAUUGUUGUUAAAAUCCCAUCUCAUAAAAUUUUCUCCUGUUUCAAAAAUUAAAAAAUAUAAAAAAUUGUCUCCCUUUGAUUAAAGCACCCUGAACACCAGAAAUGGUGUCACUUAAAACCUCUCUCAAUCUCCAAGCUAACACUUUUGCGAUAAUUUCAUACAAGCUUGAUAAUCAAGCUGUGGACUUCUGUAGAUGAACAGAGAACUUCAAGGAGAACUACCACUUUUGGACUAAUUUUACAACCAAGACUUUACUUCUACUACUUUGUUAUAAAAGAUUGCAAGGCAUCAAUAGACGAUAUAUAGUUGAUAAGACUGGAUGCAAUCCACUCAAAUGCAUUUCAAAAAACUAUAUUCAAUGAGUAAUUUGAGUUGUUUUUUUCUUCCAACUCAAAAACUUGAACAAACCUCGAUUCUAAUACUCUAAACAAAGAAUUUAACCCGGAAUCGAAAGAUCAAUACUGAAAAACAUAAUCUGAUACAUAAACAUGUGUUAUCAUUUGUAAAACAUCAGAUACAACCUAUUUGCACAAAAUGGGUUACACAUCUCUAACAAAGGCUUAGACUUUAGAUAUCAAAAGAAUUCCAAUUUGUCCUCUUCUACACAAUUCUAACAAAUGCUCAAGUCCUUUAAGGCCUUGUAUUUAGAUGCUAAGAAGAGUAAAAAAUGGGCCUAUUGGCAGGAUUUAAAUUGAAAAUCUUGAUUUAAAAAUGGUUGAAUUCCAGAUCAGUCUACAGAGAAUCUAGUAAUUCUAUGCUUCAAAAACUCAUUUGCCCCUCUUUAAAUCCUCACAAUGUGGGGUUGAUUAGCUUCCUUUAACCAAGAGUAACAUGGUUCUAUGAAAAACAAGCAUUAAUGAAUCAAACAGAGAUCACAACACAAUAACAAAUAGAUCAAACUUUGAAAUCAACUAAUAUUAGACUCCCAAAUUCCAAGUUCAAGUAGGCUGUUGUUGAAUCACGCGUUACCUCGCGAAGCGAGUCUCGCUUCCCACGACGUUGCAUUUCUUGCUCGUCGGCGUAUGACGCCGGAGAAAACGAUUCGGCGACCACGUCUUCCAUUUUUCCCUUCAUUUUCUGAUCCUGGUUUGCUCUCUGGUUUUCUACCUAUUGUGUUGGGCUUUAUUACAUACUUUUGGGUCCUUUUUCCUUUUAUUUUUCUUUUUCUUUCAUUUUAAAAGUCGAAUAGUUUCCUAAUAUUUCGAAAAAUUAAAAGUCGAGUACCUCACAGUAUCUAGUUUUUAUUUGAUAAAUCAGUAUCUAGUUUUUUUUUUUUAAGAAAGAGCUUCUAGUUUUCAUAUUCAUUUGAUAAAUAAAAGUAAUUUUAACCUCUCGUGUGCAUUUAAGUUGUCUAUUAUGGUGAGAAAAGUUUCCUAAAAGAAAACUAUGGUGAGAAAAACAAGAGCAUUCGAAAUGAGAAGAACAUGAAGGUGGAUUUGAGAGGAGCCAAAACGCGAAUCAAAGGAAGAAGAAAGAGAUUUCAUUAGAAAAAAGUGUAACGCGAAUCAAAGGAAGAAGAAAGAGAUUUCAUUAGAAAAGAGUGUUUGAGACUACAAGUAGAGUAGCUAUUUAUUAACUUGUGGCAUUAGAUCUCUCUCCUAGUACCACGAGACCCAUAUAAAAGGCUACUUUUAUUGAUUAUCUACCUCUUAGCUUAGCAAGUACCACAUUAACACUACAUGCCGCUAAAUUUUUCAUUUGCUCCCAUCAGUAUCUCUAGAACUGUGAGGACCUUGAUGAGCUCAAAGCAAGAGUCUCCUGCCUGUUAUACUUGAGGUCCUUGCCUGCUCGCGGUCCAUCUGGUAGGCGUUGGCGAGGACCACGUCGGGGAGUGAUCGCAAGACGGAGGUCCUGCCAGCUAGAGUGUUGACCAUGGCAUUGUCAUUGGUCUUGAAGGCAAUGUACUCGUACCCGUUGCUCUGGGCUUUUUGCAACACGGCGUGGUUUUGCGGCACGAUGAAGAGUUGUCCCUGGCGGACCUGGUCGUCCAAGAUGGUCUCACCGUUGUCGUUCACCACCUGAACCCUGGCGCUACCUCUGAUGACAUAGAUGAUCUCAUGAGCAUUCAAGUUCCAGCGGGGGCUGUGGAUAGCAUUCUGCAUGUACCAUUACCAGAUAAAUUUCAGGAUUAAUUGAUCAAUAGGUAACUAAAUUUAAUUAUUAGAAACAUACAUGCUAGAAUACUCACGUUGUAGAAGAAACCUCUCUCAGCGCUGAGACGGAGGUGCCUGAGAAUAGGCAUGCUGAAGCUGUUGAGGGUGCUGAUGCGACCGGCUUGUGGGCUGAAGACGUCAGCCAUGGAAGGCUUGCCGAUGUUCUGCUUGAUCUGCAUGUGGCAGAAUAC
rnacentral:lncRNA from 1 species